rnacentral:misc_RNA from 1 species
AAGAGAGAAGAAGAGAAUUUAUUAACCUGAGGCAGAGACAGCUGUCAGUGGCCGAAUAUGAGAAGGAAUUUGUUCGAUUAAGCCGCUAUGGAAGGGAGAUAGUCCCUAAUGAAGCUGAAAGGUGCAAGAGAUUUGAAGAGGGAUUGAACGACAAUAUAAAGCUCAUGAUCACUGUCUUGGGAAUCACUGAUUUCACCAAGCUAGUGGAAGCUGCAUUAAAAGUGGAGAAAGUGAGAAUAAAUGAACAAAAUAGGAAAGAUAGGCAGCGUAAGAGGGAAUUUGGACCAGGACAGUCAAGUAUACCAACUGAUAGUAAGAAGUUUAAGGGUUCUAGUUUACAAGAUCAGACACAGGGCCACAGAGGCCAGAUUGGAAUAUCUAUAGCUAGUUCCCCGGGCACAAUAACAAGGGGAUUAACCCCAGUGCCUGAAUGUAUGCAUUGUGGUAGAAGACAUAGAGGGGAGUGUCGACUGUUAACUGGAGAGUGUUUUAAGUGUGGGGCUACGGAUCAUUUCAUAAGAGAUUGCCCUCAGAGGAGUGGUUCAAUAGCUCCGGUACAAGUUGAUAGACCUUCCCCUGUAGUUCAAAGGGGUAAAAGAUCGGGUAGAGCAGAAACGGCUGACAUUUCACAGAAGAUUGUUUCUGAGACAGUUGAAAAGCCCGAAGUCAGGGUGGCACCACAAGUAUAUGCUAUGGAAGCUCAGGAAGAGCCAAACCCAGACACUGAUGAGGCGAUACAAGGAAAUGAAGAAACAAGAAGGUAGCAACUCCCCGAUUACUUAAGUCAGGUACUGAAGAUUGGACAGAGGGCCAGUAGACCACAGAUUUGGUAAGACAGUUCACAGUUCUGCAUAGUGUCCG